GAUGAACGCUGGCGGCGUGCCUAAUACAUGCAAGUCGAGCGAACGGACGAGAAGCUUGCUUCUCUGAUGUUAGCGGCGGACGGGUGAGUAACACGUGGAUAACCUACCUAUAAGACUGGGAUAACUUCGGGAAACCGGAGCUAAUACCGGAUAAUAUUUUGAACCGCAUGGUUCAAAAGUGAAAGACGGUCUUGCUGUCACUUAUAGAUGGAUCCGCGCUGCAUUAGCUAGUUGGUAAGGUAACGGCUUACCAAGGCAACGAUGCAUAGCCGACCUGAGAGGGUGAUCGGCCACACUGGAACUGGGACACGGUCCAGACUCCUACGGGAGGCAGCAGUAGGGAAUCUUCCGCAAUGGGCGAAAGCCUGACGGAGCAACGCCGCGUGAGUGAUGAAGGUCUUCGGAUCGUAAAACUCUGUUAUUAGGGAAGAACAUAUGUGUAAGUAACUGUGCACAUCUUGACGGUACCUAAUCAGAAAGCCACGGCUAACUACCUGCCAGCAGCCGCGGUAGUACGUAGGUGGCAAGCGUUAUCCGGAAUUAUUGGGCGUAAGCGCGCGUAGGCGGUUUUUUAGUCUGAUGUGAAAGCCCACGGCUCAACCGUGGAGGGUCAUUGGAAACUGGAAAACUUGAGUGCAGAAGAGGAAAGUGGAAUUCCAUGUGUAGCGGUGAAAUGCGCAGAGACAUGGAGGAACACCAGUGGCGAAGGCGACUUUCUGGUCUGUAACUGACGCUGAUGUGCGAAAGCGUGGGGAUCAAACAGGAUUAGAUACCCUGGUAGUCCACGCCGUAAACGAUGAGUGCUAAGUGUUAGGGGGUUUCCGCCCCUUAGUGCUGCAGCUAACGCAUUAAGCACUCCGCCUGGGGAGUACGACCGCAAGGUUGAAACUCAAAGGAAUUGACGGGGACCCGCACAAGCGGUGGAGCAUGUGGUUUAAUUCGAAGCAACGCGAAGAACCUUACCAAAUCUUGACAUCCUUUGACAACUCUAGAGAUAGAGCCUUCCCCUUCGGGGGACAAAGUGACAGGUGGUGCAUGGUUGUCGUCAGCUCGUGUCGUGAGAUGUUGGGUUAAGUCCCGCAACGAGCGCAACCCUUAAGCUUAGUUGCCAUCAUUAAGUUGGGCACUCUAAGUUGACUGCCGGUGACAAACCGGAGGAAGGUGGGGAUGACGUCAAAUCGUCAUGCCCCUUAUGAUUUGGGCUACACACGUGCUACAAUGGACAAUACAAAGGCAGCGAAACCGCGAGGUCAAGCAAAUCCCAUAAAGUUGUUCUCAGUUCGGAUUGUAGUCUGCAACUCGACUACAUGAAGCUGGAAUCGCUAGUAAUCGUAGAUCAGCAUGCUACGGUGAAUACGUUCCCGGGUCU
rnacentral:rRNA from 1 species